rnacentral:lncRNA from 7 species
AGAUCAUUUGCAUUCUCCACUCUCAACAAGGGAUGAAGACUAUUUUAAAAGAAGCCUGUAACAGCCAUAGCAAUAGACAGUACUUUCUGGGAUAGCAGUAUCUGCAGAAAACUGCACAGUGGUUCAGCAUCUAUGAAUAACAGAGCCCUUCCCUCUGCGGGAUUCACAAUUUUCCCCUCAGCCCCACCAAAGCUAACUGAAAUGGACAGCACAAACCAUUGAAGCUCUUCUUUUCAGAGAAAGAAGAAAAACAACAAGAGAAACAUUUAUAUGACACACUAUUUAACAAAAGACAACAAACAACAAACCUCCAACUUCAGAUACUGCAGAAAACCAUCAUCCUGUGACCAAGAACUGCAGAAUGCCUGAGACUUAAAAGAAACUCUUUCAGUUUCCUUGCUGGAUCAUCUUCAGCUAUCUUGCCUCUCCAGAACUCUCCAGAAUUUGUGGCACUUGGAGGAUGCACUGAAAAGCAUUGCAUCUUUCUGACUCCCAGGGAAGCCGUGCAACUUCAGAGAGAGGUAAUAAGCAAGCUGCGGAAUCUGAGAGUGAGAGCAAGUUGGAAGGACACCAAAAUGGUUUUCCAGGUCAGAUAAACGGAUGACUGUUGUGUCAGUGUUACCACCUCAGCAUCAGAGGGUUAUUCACACCACUUACAUUAGCCAGACAGCUCAGCCAAAAAUCAGGUUGGCUAGGACCACUCUGGAGCACACUGGCAGGGGAAAAGCAGCUCUAGGAAGAAGAAUCCUCAGGACAGUGUAGGAGCACCACACAUGUAAGAAGCUCUGGAAAAUCCCAGCAGACUGGAGAGGAACCCUUUGACUGCAGGAUUUUAUUACUUAAGACACCACAAAACAGCACCAACCAAGGGACAGGACUUCCAGUUGAUGAAUGGGUAAGACAGUGAAGCUAGCAUUCCACAACAAAGAUUGUGGCCACAGUUUAAGAAAGUUUCUGAUUUAGUUUCUUCUACAAAGGACACCAACAUGUUUCAUCCUGGUGAUUCUAAGAACUUGUUUUUCUUUGCUAAAUUUUUCCACCACUGAGCCUUGUUAUUAUUCUGCGAAGUAACAACAGAUUACUUCAGAGCAGAAGAGAUUUAUGCAUUUAUACAUCACAGAAAUGCCUGAAUGCUAACUGCCUGCACUUCCGAGAUAAAAGCUGGGGUGCUCUGCCUGCUGGUGCACUGACCUAAAUGCAGACACAUACAGAAUCACACAACCUGUUUACCAUCUAGAUGUCCUAUGCUUUCUGUAGGCAUGGCAUUGCUCCUGUAGGCUUCACCACAGAGACGAGGCGGAGAAGGAAAGCACCUUGAGAUGUUCCAUGGCAGGAGAAGCUGUAUCGCAAUACCACUCUUAUUGGAUGCUUGUUUUCCCUGCUCUAGAAGGCAGUUCUAAAAGGAGGGCUCCCCAGCUUCACAGACAUUCUUGUCAUGUUCCUAGCUAUCCUACUGUGACUUCUUGAUUUCUAAUUUUCUCUGCAGUUUACGACCAAUACUUCAUGUUUUGUUCACCACAGAUACAGAGAUCAUUUCCUCCUCUUUCCACUUGAAAAAUGUUAUCCUGUCCCUUAAGUCUGCUCUCCUUUUAUCGUCUUAAACUAUUUCCUUAGUUCACAUUUACUAGAUAUCACCACCUUGCUAUAUUCAUAGAAUCAUAGAAUUAUAGAAUGGUUUAGGUUGGAGGGGACCUUAAAGAUCAUCUAGUUCCAUCCAUGCCAUGGGCAGGGUUGCCAACCACUAGAUCAGGCUACCCAGGAACUCAUCUUGGGAUACUCCAUCCUCUCCAAGUGAUCUCUGGCUUUUUUAAAGUGCAAUGCCUGAUACUGGAUAUGAAAUAGGUUUACCAGCAGAAGGAUUAUUUAAUGUCUUUGUCGUUUACACAUUCAUCUGAGGACGGACUUUCUCCGUUUCACAACAGGCUGAUAUUGCUCACACGUGCUUAGUUCAUGAUUCAACAUAGUUCCUAGAUCCUUUCUGAAAGAAAUAAAAGUUUUUCAUCCUAUAUUUAAUAAAUCAUUUUUUCCAACUGCUAUGC